AGAGAAGAAAGUUUGACAACGCACUGGCUCACCUCACAGGAUGAAGGCUACACCUUGGGAGCAAUUGCCGAUGGCAAGCAUUGAGGACUCUGUAAGUAGGCAAAUGAUUAUUUCUUCGGUCUGACUUCUUGGUGCAUUUUAUGGCUUUCUUUGGCUGCCAGGAUUGCAGGAAUUCCCUUAUGCACUUCAAAGCAUCUUACACCUUCGAAUUACAACAUUGCUUUCUUUGGAAAUAUAUGAAAGGCCGUUGAAAGCCUUUCCAGGAAAAGAAACAAAGACAUCCUGGUCUUGUCUAUUGAAAAGGGAAAACAAACAACCUGCCAUGUAAGAUUUUUCAUCUAGUUAAACAGUAUAUAACAGAU